rnacentral:rRNA from 1 species
AGGAUCAUUAUGAAUGAUAUUUUCCCAAUUUCCCCUUGUGUAUCUACACCAUGUUGCUUCUACUAGGCUGGAACAUCUAUGAUUGAAUAUUAUAUAGUAAUAUAUUUAAUGGUAUUCAUGCCCUUCAUCCCUUUAAUUCUAGUGGUUGAAGUAGUGUCAGUGGAUAGCCUUAGUUAUAAGAAAACUCUUUGUGAAUACUAGUACAGUCUGAUUUUGUGUUAAAAUAAAUGAAAAAAAAAAACUUUCAACAACGGAUUUCUAGGCUCUUGCAUCGAUGAAGAACGCAGUGAAAUGUGAUAAGUAAUGUGAAUUGCAAAAUCUCGUAAAUCAUCGAAUCUUUGAACGUACAUUGCGCCCAGUGGUAUUCCACUAGGCAUACCUGUUUGAGUGUCCGAAUCUUUACAAUUAUCAAACUUUUAUGCAUUAUAUAUAAAGAUGUUUGGAAUAAGAUUUGAGAAAAGUAUAGCAGUAUUGUUAUACUUUCUUAAAAAUAAGAAAUAAUUUGGUUGGAUUUUCUUUAAAACCUAUUUUAUAUGUUAUAUAACAAAUGAGUUUAAGUGAAAAAAUAACGUACUAGAUUGACCUCAAAUCAGGUAGGGAUACUGACUGAACUUAAGCAUAUCAAUAAGCGGAGGAAAAGAAACCAACAGGGAUUGCCUUAGUAACGGUGAGUGAAGCGGCAAAACCUCAGAUUUGAAAUCUGGUGUCAUUUUGACAUCCGAGUUGUAAUCUGUAGAGGAGUUUUUAAGAGUAUUGUUUUGGUUAAAGUCCCUUGGGAAAGGACAUCAUAGAGGGUAAGAAUCCUGUUUAUGACCUUUGCACAUCUCUAUUUUAAAUAUCCUUCAAUGAGUCGAGUUGUUUGGGAAUGCAGCUCUAAAUGGGUGGUAAAUUCCAUCUAAAGCUAAAUAUUGGCAAGAGACCGAUAGCGCACAAGUAGAGUGAUCGAAAGAUGAAAAGAACUCUGAACAGAGAGUUAAAGAGUACGUGAAAUUGUUGAAAGGGAAGCACUUGUGACCAAACAAAAUUGCAAUUGAUCAGCCAUUAAUCUUGGUAGUGCACUCAAUUGCCAGUGGGUUAGCAUCAGUUAUAGCAGCAGGAUAAAGACCAAAAGAAUGUAGCUCCUCUUUGAGGAGUGUUAUAGCUUUUGGUUUAAUACUGCUCGAUAUA